UACGGGAGGCAGCAGUGGGGAAUAUUGCACAAUGGGCGGAAGCCUGAUGCAGCAACGCCGCGUGCGGGAUGACGGCCUUCGGGUUGUAAACCGCUUUCGCCUGUGACGAAGCGUGAGUGACGGUAAUGGGUAAAGAAGCACCGGCUAACUACGUGCCAGCAGCCGCGGUGAUACGUAGGGUGCGAGCGUUGUCCGGAAUUACUGGGCGUAAAGAGCUCGUAGGUGGUUUGUCGCGUCGUCUGUGAAAUUCCGGGGCUUAACUUCGGGCGUGCAGGCGAUACGGGCAUAACUUGAGUGCUGUAGGGGAGACUGGAAUUCCUGGUGUAGCGGUGGAAUGCGCAGAUAUCAGGAGGAACACCGAUGGCGAAGGCAGGUCUCUGGGCAGUAACUGACGCUGAGGAGCGAAAGCAUGGGGAGCGAACAGGAUUAGAUACCCUGGUAGUCCAUGCCGUAAACGUUGGGCACUAGGUGUGGGGAACAUUCCACGUUUUCCGCGCCGUAGCUAACGCAUUAAGUGCCCCGCCUGGGGAGUACGGCCGCAAGGCUAAAACUCAAAGGAAUUGACGGGGGCCCGCACAAGCGGCGGAGCAUGCGGAUUAAUUCGAUGCAACGCGUAGAACCUUACCUGGGUUUGACAUGGAUCGGGAGUGCUCAGAGAUGGGUGUGCCUCUUUUGGGGUCGGUUCACAGGUGGUGCAUGGCUGUCGUCAGCUCGUGUCGU
rnacentral:rRNA from 1 species